CAGUCGCGCGGGAAUACGAGGGGAGCUAGCGUUGUUCGGAAUUACUGGGCGUAAAGCGCGCGUAGGCGGCUUUUUAAGUCAGAGGUGAAAGCCCGGGGCUCAACCCCGGAAUUGCCUUUGAAACUGGAAAGCUAGAAUCUUGGAGAGGUCAGUGGAAUUCCGAGUGUAGAGGUGAAAUUCGUAGAUAUUCGGAAGAACACCAGUGGCGAAGGCGACUGACUGGACAAGUAUUGACGCUGAGGUGCGAAAGCGUGGGGAGCAAACAGGAUUAGAUACCCCCGUAGUCCCUGUCUCUUAUACA
rnacentral:rRNA from 1 species